UCUUCCGCAAUGGACGACAGUCUGACGGAGCAACGCCGCGUGAGUGAUGAAGGUUUUCUGAUCGUAAAACUCUGUUGUUAGGGAAGAANNAGUACCGUUCGAUUAUGGCGGUACCUUGACGGUACAUAACCAGAAAGCUACGGCUAACUACGUGCAAGCAGCCGCGGUAAUACGUAGGUGGCAAGCGUUGUCCGGAAUUAUUGGGCGUAAAGCGCGCGCAGGCGGUUUCUUAAGUCUGAUGUGAAAGCCCCCGGCUCAACCGGGGAGGGUCAUUGGAAACUGGGGAACUUGAGUGCAGAAGAGGAGAGUGGAAUUCCACGUGUAGCGGUGAAAUGCGUAGAGAUGUGGAGGAACACCAGUGGCGAAGGCGACUCUCUGGUCUGUAACUGACGCUGAGGCGCGAAAGCGUGGGGAGCGAACAGG
rnacentral:rRNA from 1 species